rnacentral:rRNA from 1 species
UACGGAGGGUGCAAGCGUUGUUCGGAAUCAUUGGGCGUAAAGCGCGUGUAGGCGGUUGCCUAAGUCUGGUGUGAAAGCCCGGGGCUUAACCCCGGAAGUGCACUGGAUACUGGGUGACUAGAGGGCGAGAGAGGAAAGUGGAAUUCAUGGUGUAGGGGUGAAAUCCGUAGAUAUCAUGAGGAACAUCUGUGGCGAAGGCGACUUUCUGGCUCGUUUCUGACGCUGAGACGCGAAAGCGUGGGGAGCAAACAGG